GGCAUAGUGUUCUGGUUUGAGUGUUGGACUACGACUCUGGAGACCAGGGUUCGAAUCCUUGCUCAGCCA